rnacentral:rRNA from 1 species
AGGCUCUUAAAUCCUUCCUCGAGCCUCAUUCCUAGGGGGCCUUGUAGGAGGCCUCCACAUUUCUGUUUUGUCCUGCUCGCGCACGAUCCACCGCUAGAUCCUCUCCAUUGCUUCCCCAUCUCGCCAACGCACCAACCCCGCCAUGACCUUUCAGCCGCGGUAGACAGAGGAUGCAAGCGUUAUCCGGAAUGAUGGGCGUAAAGUGUCUGUAGUGGCUUUUCAAGUCCGCCGUCAAAUCCCAGGGCUCAACCCUGGACAGGCGGUGGAAACUACAAGAUGGAGUACGGUAGGGCAGAGGGAAUUUCCGGUGGAGAGGUGAAAUGGCAUUGAGAUUGUCGGAAGAGAAACACCACCGCGAAGCACUAUGAGGGGCCACACGAAAAUGAGAGACCGAAAGGCUAGCGGGAGCAAAGGAUUAGAGACCCCAGUAGCCUGAACGUAAACGAGGGAGACUAGGUGCCUGUGCGACUGACCCGUGCAGGGCUUGUAGCUACGCGUCAAGUAUCCAUCCGGGGGUACGUUCGCAAGAAGGAACUCGAGGAAGUGACGGGGCCCCGCACAAGCGGUGGAGCAUGUUGUUUAAUUCGAUGCAAAGCGAAGAACCUUACCAGGGCUUGACCUGCCGCGAAUCCUCUGAAAGAGAGGGUGCCCUCGGGAACGCGGACAAGGGUUGCAUGGCUGUCGUCAGCUCGUGCCGUAGGGUGUUGGGUUAAGUCUCGCAACGGCGCAACCAUCGUUGUUUCGUUUGCCAUAUUGAGUUUGGACCUGAAAAGACCGACGGUGUUAGCCGGAGGGAGGAAGGAGAGGAUGAGGCCAAGUCUAUUGCCCCGUAUGCCCUGGGAGACACACGUGCUUACAAUGGCGGCGGGACAAAGGGUCGCGAUCUCGCGAGGGUGAGCAACUCAAAAACCCGUCCUCAGUUCGGAAUGCAGGCGAAACUCGCCUGAUGAAAGCAGGCAUCGCUAGGAAUCGCCGGUCAGCCAUACGGCGGUGAAUGAAUCCGUUCCGGGCCUUGUACACACCGCCCGACACUAUAGGAGCUGGCCAUGUUUGCGAGUCAUUACCCUUAACCGUAAGGAGGGGGAUGCCUAAGGUAGGCUUGCGCACUGGAGUGAAGUCGUAACAAGGUUAGCCGUACUGAAGGUGCGGCUG